rnacentral:lncRNA from 1 species
GUUCAAAAUAUUUCAAAUGACAGACAUCCAAUUCUAUCCUGAAAAGAAAUUCCAACCAUGUCCAGGGAUUCUAUACAAAAGCCUGUGAGUGCUUUAAGCAAGCUUUUGAUACAACCACUGAGUUCACGGAUAUCCCGCUGGUGGAUGAGACCAAAGUCCACUUUGGAAUUGCCAAGGCUCACCAGAUGAUGAUAGCAGUCAACAGUUACAUAGAAUCUGCUGACUUCAACAGCCUCACUCACCUGCUAACAUGGAAGGAGAACCGAAACAACAUUUUCCCAGAACCCAUCGUUGAGCAGUCGAGUGACUCCAGAAACAAAAGGCUUUCCAGUGAACAAUCAAGCAGAGAGCCAGAGGCUGACAGCCGUCAGGAAUCUAAGGAGUGUAAUUCUUGAAGCGGCUUGAACAGCCAAAAAUCGAGAAGAUAAAAAAUCACCUUGAACCUUGAGAAUUUUAUUUACAUAGGAAUAUCACUGUAGGCAUAGACUGGUUCAAUAAAAGUCACCAUGAUUAUAUUUUUAUACA